GAUGAGCGCUGGCGGCGUGCCUAAUACAUGCAAGUCGAGCGAACAGAUGAUGAGCUUGCUCCUCUGACGUUAGCGGCGGACGGGUGAGUAACACGUGGAUAACCUACCUAUAAGACUGGGAUAACUUCGGGAAACCGGAGCUAAUACCGGAUAAUAUAUUGAACCGCAUGGUUCAAUAGUGAAAGACGGUUUUGCUGUCACUUAUAGAUGGAUCCACGCCGCAUUAGCUAGUUGGUAAGGUAACGGCUUACCAAGGCAACGAUGCGUAGCCGACCUGAGAGGGUGAUCGGCCACACUGGAACUGAGACACGGUCCAGACUCCUACGGGAGGCAGCAGAAGGGAAUCUUCCGCAAUGGGCGAAAGCAUGACGGAGCAACGCCGCGUGAGUGAUGAAGGUCUUCGGAUCGUAAAACUCUGUUAUUAGGGAAGAACAAAUGUGUAAGUAACUAUGCACGUCUUGACGGUAACUAAUCAGAAAGCAACGGCUAACUACGUG
rnacentral:rRNA from 1 species